rnacentral:lncRNA from 1 species
CUUAUAAAAAAUCUCAUAGAAAUUCAUCCCCUCCUUUAUUUGUUUCUUUUCCUUUUUGACUGCUCCGGGCAGCAUGUGAGAUCUUAGGUCCCAGACCAGGGAUUGAACCCAUGCCCCCUGUUGUAGAAGGGAGGAAUCUUAACCAGUGAACCACCAUUGGAGUCUCUUGUUUGAGCUGUUUUUCUGAGAAUAAAUUUGAAGGCUUUUAAAUUUCUUUCUUGGAACCUGUGCUCAGCCAAAUCUCUGGGGUCUGGCUCGUGCCUCUGGCUCACCUAUUCCUGCAGCCAUGUCUUUCCAGCAGCAGCAGUGCCUGCCCCAGAUGACAAGCAGCCCUGUCAGCCACCCCCUGUCAAAUGUCAAGAGGCGUGUGCACCUAAAACCAAGGAUCCAUGUGCUCCCCAGGCCAAGAAGCAAUGCCCAGCCAAGGACACAGCAAUCCCAGCCCAGCAGAAGUGUCCUGCAACCAGCAAGCCCCCUAGAGUAAAUAGAAGUAAGAAUGGACGGAGAGAUACCUGCCCGCCAACCAGGCUACCAGAUGCAGCCUUCUCUUUCUCCUGCUCCUUUUCUGAUCCUCAGCUCCGGGAUUUGCCCUCCUCUCCCAUCUUCUCCUACUCAGGGUCCAAGGAAACAUUGUCAGGAUUUCUUCCCAUGGAACUCCUUGUCUCAUACAUCCCCUUGCUCCCAGUAUAUUCUUCUGUUCCCAACUCUGACUCUCUCCUAGAUGAACAUGAGUGAGGUCCCACCUUCUCCAGCUUCCAGUUUGGCCACAGCUGUGGCCCCAUCCAUGUCCUAAAGCAAGAAAUAUAUCUGGGCUGAUUCUAGGGCUUCCACCUUGACUCACGGGGACACCAGAGGCUGAUGCAUAGCUUCUAUAUCAUUCCCUUUCCCAAUUCCCCAUCCGUGAGCUUCCCUCCUCUUUCUUCCACUAAUAAAUCUGUGCUUCAUAUUAAAAAGAAUUAUCUCUCCUAGCAAUAUUUUGUAGUUCAUUUUUAUUUCAGAUCUUACCCCUAUACUUUGUUAAAUAUACUUAUUCUAUGGUUUUAUAUUUAAAAUUUUAAUUUUCAAGUUUUUGAUUAAUAUACAGAAACAUGAUUGUUUUGUAUAUACUUUAUAAUUUUGAACUUCUUUAAAUUCAAUUCACAU